rnacentral:rRNA from 1 species
CCCUUAGAUGUUCUGGGCCGCACGCGCGCUACACUGAUGCAUUCAACGAGUUUCUUCCUGGUCCGAGAGGAAUGGGUAACCUUUUGAAAGUGCAUCGUGAUAGGGAUAGACUAUUGCAAUUAUUGGUCUUCAACGAGGAAUUCCUAGUAGACGUAGUUCAUCAGACUGCAUCGAUUACGUCCCUGCCCUUUGUACACACCGCCCGUCGCUCCUACCGAUUGAAUGCUCAGGUGAGCCAUUCGGACUUUCAUCAUGCCGGUUUCCAGUUUUGAUGAAGGAAAGUCUUGCGAACCUUAUCAUUUAGAGGAAGGAGAAGUCGUAACA